GAAAAGAUUCUCCCGGAAGGAAAGCUUAAAAUGUCACACAAGAACCCACACUGGUGAAAGACCUUAUGCCUGCUCAAUCUGUGGCCAAAGAUUCUCUCAUAAGGAAAGCUCAAAAAUACACACAAGAACCCACACUGGUGAGAGACCUUAUGCCUGCUCAAUCUGUGGCCAAAGAUUCUCUCAUAAGGAAAGCUUAAAAAUACACACAAGAACACACACUGGUGAGAAACCUUUUGCCUGCUUGGUGUGUGAGCAAAGAUUCUCCCAGACGGAAAGCUUAAGAUGUCACACAAGAACCCAUACUGGUGAGAAACCUUUGGCCUGCUCAGUUUGUGGCCAAAUAUUCUCUGAGAAGCGAAACUUAAAAAUACACACAAGAACUCACGCUUGUGAGAAAUCUUUUGCCUGUUCAGAUUGUGGCCAAGGAUUCUCUCAUAAGGAAAGCUUACAAUGUCACACAAGAAUCCACACUGGUGAGAAACAUUUUGCCUGUUCAGAUUGUGGCUGAAGAUUCUCUCAGAAGGGAAAAUUAA